rnacentral:rRNA from 1 species
GUCGAGAAUAAUUCACAAUGGACGAAAGUCUGAUGGUGCAACGCCGCGUGGAGGAUGAAGGUCUUCGGAUUGUAAACUCCUGUCAUCGGGGAGUAAGACCUGGCGGUAAAUAGCCGACAGGGUUGAUAGUACCGGAAGAGGAAGGGACGGCUAACUUCGUGCCAGCAGCCGCGGUAAUACGAAGGUCCCAAGCGUUGUUCGGAAUCACUGGGCGUAAAGGGUGCGUAGGCGGCGUGGUAAGUCAGAUGUGAAAUCCCGGGGCUCAACCUCGGAACUGCAUCAGAUACUGCCAUGCGUGAGGGCUGGAGAGGUAACUGGAAUUCUCGGUGUAGCAGUGAAAUGCGUGGAUAUCGAGAGGAACACUCGUGGCGAAGGCGAGUUACUGGACAGCAUCUGACGCUGAGGCACGAAGGCCAGGGGAGCGAAAGGGAUUAGAAACCCUAGUAGUCC